AGAGUUUGAUCCUGGCUCAGGACGAACGCUGGCGGCGUGCCUAAUACAUGCAAGUCGAACGCUUUUUCUUUCACCGGAGCUUGCUCCACCGAAAGAAAAAGAGUGGCGAACGGGUGAGUAACACGUGGGUAACCUGCCCAUCAGAAGGGGAUAACACUUGGAAACAGGUGCUAAUACCGUAUAACACUAUUUUCCGCAUGGAAGAAAGUUGAAAGGCGCUUUUGCGUCACUGAUGGAUGGACCCGCGGUGCAUUAGCUAGUUGGUGAGGUAACGGCUCACCAAGGCCACGAUGCAUAGCCGACCUGAGAGGGUGAUCGGCCACACUGGGACUGAGACACGGCCCAGACUCCUACGGGAGGCAGCAGUAGGGAAUCUUCGGCAAUGGACGAAAGUCUGACCGAGCAACGCCGCGUGAGUGAAGAAGGUUUUCGGAUCGUAAAACUCUGUUGUUAGAGAAGAACAAGGAUGAGAGUAAAAUGUUCAUCCCUUGACGGUAUCUAACCAGAAAGCCACGGCUAACUACGUGCCAGCAGCCGCGGUAAUACGUAGGUGGCAAGCGUUGUCCGGAUUUAUUGGGCGUAAAAGCGAGCGCAUGCGGUUUCUUAAGUCUGAUGUGAAAGCCCCCGGCUCAACCGGGGGAGGGUUCAUUGGAAACUGGGAGACUUGAGUGCAGAAGAGGAGAGUGGAUUUCCAUGUGUAGCGGUGAAAUGCGUAAGAUAUAUGGAGGAACACCAGUGGCGAAAGGCCGCUCUCUGGUCUGUAACUGACGG
rnacentral:rRNA from 1 species